rnacentral:rRNA from 1 species
GUCUACAGCCAUAUCACCCUGAACCCGCCUGAUCUCAUCUCAUUUUGGAAGCUAAGCAGGGUUGGGCCUAGUUACUACUUGGAUGGGAGUAAACC